CUUAUUCUGUGGUUUAGAUUGCAAGCAGCUCCUCGGAGCCAGGGCCUGUGGGGUCCUGGAAGGUGCUGAGUUACAGCUUCAACUAUGAUCAGUGCAU
rnacentral:lncRNA from 1 species